rnacentral:rRNA from 1 species
UACGUAGGGGGCUAGCGUUGUCCGGAAUCAUUGGGCGUAAAGGGCGCGUAGGCGGCUUUGCAAGUGACGGGUGAAAGCCCUCGGCUUAACCGAGGAACUGCCUGUCAGACUGUAAGGCUUGAGACCGGGAGAGGUGAGUGGAAUUCCCAGUGUAGCGGUGAAAUGCGUAGAUAUUGGGAGGAACACCAGUGGCGAAGGCGGCUCACUGGACCGGAACUGACGCUGAGGUGCGAAAGCGUGGGGAGCAAACAGG